rnacentral:rRNA from 1 species
UGGGGAAUAUUGCACAAUGGAGGAAACUCUGAUGCAGCGACGCCGCGUGAGUGAUGAAGGCUUUCGGGUCGUAAAACUCUGUCCUAAGGGACGAUAAUGACGGUACCUUAGGAGGAAGCCCCGGCUAACUACGUGCCAGCAGCCGCGGUAAUACGUAGGGGGCGAGCGUUGUCCGGAAUUAUUGGGCGUAAAGGGUGCGUAGGCGGCCUUUUAAGUCAGGUGUGAAAGGUCACGGCUCAACCGUGGUAAGCACUUGAAACUGGAAGGCUUGAGUUAAGGAGAGGAAAGUGGAAUUCCUAGUGUAGCGGUGAAAUGCGUAGAUAUUAGGAGGAAUACCAGUGGCGAAGGCGACUUUCUGGACUUAAACUGACGCUGAGGCACGAAAGCGUGGGGAGCAAAC